GUGAUUAGAAACUUGGCAUUAAAAGCUCAAUCCUUAAACUGCCCACUGGGUACAUAACGAGGACGAGAGAUGAGUGGUGCUUCAGGGGACGUAGCAACCCUAAGGCCCCCCAUCUUCCCCCGCCCCCUGCCUGACACUUUCAAAAUAGGAUGGAUGCGGAACUUAAAACUUCUCCCCAACAGACUACUUAAACUUCUUUCUUAACUUCUACAACUUUCUCUAUCCUUUAAUCUAUCCUUUAUCUCCCCUACCUCUAAGGGAAUAACUACCACUACAAUUAUGACAGAAACCCUACUAAUACAUCUAUAUUGCUAGAAGGGAAGCUCCCUAUACGAAUCCGUGGGCCGUACCGACAAACAAAGGCCUGGCCGGGCCCCCUCAUAACACGUACGACCAUGGUCUAUAUUUGGCACUAUAACUAUACCUGGCCAUGGCAAGUCAUACAUAGCCAAUAACGAAAAGUAUGGGCGUGGGCCCAAGCACG